CGGAUUACCGGGUGUCCACUGUACUGUGCUUCAUAAACCGGCCGCAGAUUGUGACGGUGUAAAGCGCCAUCUGUUGGUAUGAUGACGAAAUCCGUACAAAACGCGCUCAUAAAAGGUGCGAAGAAUUGAUUAUAUUAUGGGUCGCUAGUGAAUGGGCGUCUAAACCAUAGAUGGCGACAGGAGCGUGUCUCUUUGUGUGAGAUUGCGUUUCGUUUCAGGGUCGGAGUGUGCAAAUUGGCAAUUUUCGGGUAAAACAAACGUCGUGGGGGUUCAAAAACAUAUAAUAAGGCACUAGAAUGGUGUUGGCAAGCUUAUGAUUUGUGAAUACAAAAAUAAAAGGGAUAAAGAUUUUCUAUUGUUAUAGUUAAGAUUUGUAUGAACGAACAAAUUUUUUGAUGCGUCGAACGAAAACGUGUGAGCAAAGUUCUCGCCGAAGACAGGGUUUCGGUCAUUUUCUGGAAACAGCCACCAUGAGCUGAACAAAAAUAUCCGGGGGGAAGGAUUUAAUGUAGCAGGUCUGCUGAGACCAAAAACCUUAACUAAAAUAUUAUGUUCAGCUCAUUGAAAAUAUAAGUUUUAUUAAGUCUUGGGAAAAUCACAGGAGUCUUCCUUCCCGUUGGCCAUGAAUUCGUAUAGCGACUAAAUUUAAUAUUUGGGUGGGCUAGAGAGAACUGAUAUUAUCAGGUAAGAAAUACUUUUCACCUUACGGGACAUUGGGCGGGGUCAUUGACCACGCCGGUAGAACUUAACAAUGACGUGUCAUUUCUUCGUUUCAGUGGAAAAAAAAUAAAAAUAGGAAAAAUAAGAAAGAAAGAUAUAAGAAUGAGUUUCGAGAACCUUUGAGAAUGUAAAAGGGUAAUUUAUGAGUUUUUACGAGUUUCGAAGAGGUUGUACAAAUCCGUCGUGACGUCGCGGGAUUCGUGGAAGGCUUUAAGAAGAUAGUCAUUUGCCGGUUACAACAUCCGGGAACGUCGCAAGCUGAAGGAGACGGAGUAGCC
rnacentral:misc_RNA from 1 species